rnacentral:rRNA from 1 species
AACCUGGUUGGGUGGUCUGCCUUCACGGUACGUACUGCUUGGCCGGGUUCUACCUCUUGGUGAGCCGGCAUGCCCUUUACUGGGUGUGUCGGGGAACCAGGACUUUUACCUUGAGAAAAUUAGAGUGUUCAAAGCAGGCUAUCGCCCGAAUACAUUAGCAUGGAAUAAUAAAAUAGGACG